rnacentral:rRNA from 1 species
AGUCUAUACCAUACAACCCUGAAUGUGACUGACCUUGUCUGAUCUCAGAAGCUAAGCAGGGUUGGGCCUGGUUAAUACUUGGAUGAGAGACUACCUGGGAAUACUAAGGUUUUGUAGGCUG